AUUGAACGCUGGCGGAAUGCUUUACACAUGCAAGUCGAACGGUAACAGGUCUUCGGAUGCUGACGAGUGGCGAACGGGUGAGUAAUACAUCGGAACGUGCCUAGUAGUGGGGGAUAACUACUCGAAAGAGUGGCUAAUACCGCAUGAGAUCUACGGAUGAAAGCAGGGGAUCGCAAGACCUUGUGCUACUAGAGCGGCCGAUGGCAGAUUAGGUAGUUGGUGGGAUAAAAGCUUACCAAGCCGACGAUCUGUAGCUGGUCUGAGAGGACGAUCAGCCACACUGGGACUGAGACACGGCCCAGACUCCUACGGGAGGCAGCAGUGGGGAAGUUUGGACAAUGGGCGCAAGCCUGAUCCAGCAAUGCCGCGUGCAGGAUGAAGGCCUUCGGGUUGUAAACUGCUUUUGUACGGAACGAAAAGCCCUGGGUUAAUACCCUGGGGUCAUGACGGUACCGUAAGAAUAAGCACCGGCAAACUCUGUGCCAGCAGCCGCAGUAAUAC
rnacentral:rRNA from 1 species